CCUACGGGAGGCAGCAGUGGGGAAUAUUGCGCAAUGGGCGAAAGCCUGACGCAGCGACGCCGCGUGAGGGAUGAAGGUCUUCGGAUCGUAAACCUCUGUCAGCAGGGAAGAACGGUCACUGUGCUAAUCAGCAGUGAAUUGACGGUACCUGCAAAGGACGCACCGGCUAACUCCGUGCCAGCAGCCGCGGUAAUACGGAGGGUGCGAGCGUUAAUCGGAAUUACUGGGCGUAAAGCGCUCGUAGGCGGUAUGUCAAGUCAAGGGUGAAAUCCCCGCGCUCAACGUGGGAACUGCCUUUGAAACUGGCAGACUGGAGUGUGUGAGAGGAUAGUGGAAUUCCAGGGGUAGGAGUGAAAUCCGUAGAUAUCUGGAGGAACAUCAGUGGCGAAGGCGACUAUCUGGCACAUAACUGACGCUGAGGAGCGAAAGCGUGGGUAGCAAACAGGAUUAGAUACCCGAGUAGUC
rnacentral:rRNA from 1 species